rnacentral:rRNA from 1 species
UACGUAGGGUGCAAGCGUUAUCCGGAAUUAUUGGGCGUAAAGAGCUCGUAGGCGGUUUGUCGCGUCUGCUGUGAAAACUGGAGGCUCAACCUCCAGCCUGCAGUGGGUACGGGCAGACUAGAGUGCGGUAGGGGAGAUUGGAAUUCCUGGUGUAGCGGUGGAAUGCGCAGAUAUCAGGAGGAACACCGAUGGCGAAGGCAGGUCUCUGGGCCAUUACUGACACUGAGAAGCGAAAGCAUGGGGAGCGAACAGG